rnacentral:rRNA from 1 species
AUUGAACGCUGGCGGCAUGCCUAACACAUGUAAGUCGAACGAGACCACCGGGUCUAGUGGCGCACGGGUGCGUCACGCGUGGGAACCUGCACUUAGGUUUGGAAUAACUCUCCGAAAGGGGUGCUAACACCGGAUAAUGUCUUCGGACCAAAGAUUUAUCGCCUUUGGAUGGGCACGCGUUGGAUUCGCUUGUUGGUAGGGUAAAAGCCUACCAAGGCGACGAUCCAUAGCUGGUCUGAGAGGAUGAUCAGCCACACUGGGACUAAGACGCGGCCCAGACUCCUACGGGAGGCAGCAGUGGGGAAUAUUGGACAAUGGGCGGAGGCCUGAUCCAGCAAUGCUGGGUGAGUGAUGAAGGCCUUAGAGUUGUAAAGCUCUUUUACCCAGGAUGGUAAUGACAGUACCGGGAGAAUAAGCUCCGGCUAACUCCGUG